rnacentral:snoRNA from 1 species
CGCACAGUUCGAAGGCCGUCACCCCCCUGUACUGCAUCUUAGGGUGCUUUCGGUUCAAAGGCUGUGCCAGA